AACACUUGGGGAUCUUGUUUAAAUGCAGAUUUUAAUUCAGUAAGUCAAGGGUGAGACCUGAGAUUCUGCAUUUCUAACAAGCUCCCAGUGAUGUCAA
rnacentral:pre_miRNA from 1 species